AACGAACGCUGGCGGCAGGCUUAACACAUGCAAGUCGAACGGGUGUAGCAAUACAUCAGUGGCAGACGGGUGAGUAACACGUGGGAACCUUCCUAGGAGUACGGAACAACUCAGGGAAACUUGAGCUAAUACCGUAUACGUCCGUGAGGAGAAAGAUUUAUCGCCCUUAGACGGGCCCGCGUCGGAUUAGGUAGUUGGUGGGGUAACGGCCUACCAAGCCUACGAUCCGUAGCUGAUCUGAGAGGAUGAUCAGCCACACUGGGACUGAGACACGGCCCAGACUCUUACGGGAGGCAGCAGUGGGGAAUCUUGGACAAUGGGCGAAAGCCUGAUCCAGCCAUGCCGCGUGAGUGAAGAAGGCCUUAGGGUUGUAAAGCUCUUUUGCCAGGGACGAUAAUGACGGUACCUGGAGAAUAAGCCCCGGCAAACUUCGUGCCAGCAGCCGCAGUAACAC
rnacentral:rRNA from 1 species